UACGGAGGGGACUAGCGUUGUUCGGAAUUACUGGGCGUAAAGGGCGCGUAGGCAGUCAGCACAAGUCAGUUGUGAAAUCUCCGGGCUUAACUCGGAAAGGUCAACUGAUACUGUGCGACUAGAGUGCGGAAGGGGCAACUGGAAUUCUCGGUGUAGCGGUGAAAUGCGUAGAUAUCGAGAGGAACACCUGCGGCGAAGGCGGGUUGCUGGGCCGACACUGACGCUGAUGCGCGAAAGCCAGGGGAGCGAACGGG
rnacentral:rRNA from 1 species